GGAUCAUUGUCUUGGGAUAAAUAUUAUAACGACUGAUUUUACAGUGAGACAUUGUUUCUCUUGGAAUUAGUAGUGGGGCGGCAGGAUGCAGUCUGAAAGUUUCUUUUAUUACCAUCUUGAGGUAUUCAAGCUUAUCAAUAUCACCUUCAGUUACUCUUCCCUUUUUUCCAACACGAUUUCUAAUUUCAUCUUGCACUUGCUUCAUCACUCUAGGAUUCCUUACAAGCUCUGCCAUUGCCCAAUUCACAGUA
rnacentral:misc_RNA from 1 species